UUAGUUUAAUCACGCCUGCCAAUUUCCUUCUGCCAUUUCAAGUAACAAAUUCGCAGGUUCUGGGGAUUAAGGCAUGAACAUCUUUGGGAGAAAAUUCACCAAGAUUCAGCUGAGCACACGACUACUCAGCUAAACACCACAUUUCCAGCCUCUUUUGCAGCUCAGUAUGGACCUGUGACUGAGUCUUGGCCAAUGAGAUGUAAACAGAAGUGAUGUGUUUGUCUUCUAGAUCAUUCCUUCAGGAACAGGAUGUACCCACCAUCACCUCUUCUCCCCUUCCCACUGGCUGGAAGGUAAAAGUUAUGGCAGGAGCUGAAGCAGCCAUUUUAGAGCAGGAGGUGGAAUCACAUGCAGCAAGAUGGAAGAAAUCUGGAUCUCCAACGAGACAGAAGAAGCCUGGAUUUCCAAAACCACAGAACCAACCUCCCAGCCCUGAACAAUCUACUUCGAUAUUUAUGUAAGAGAAGUACACUUUGUUAGAAACACCAUUAUUUUGGCCUUUAGUAUAGUAGCCAAAUCUGUAUUCCAACCCAUAUUGAUCCCAGCCAUCUUUUUUCCUGCUCCUAGUUACUUCUAUCCUGUUCUAAGCUCCAUUCCAUCUGGCUGGUCAACCUCUGACAUUUUACCACCAUGAUCCACUGUCAAAAUUUCCCCAGUCACUCUCCCUGACUGCAGCUUAUAUCAAUCCCCCAUCUAACUCACCUCCCCAUCCCAUUCUCAAUUCUCCACCACGGCCUGUUGCUAGACAAUCUGUGAUCUCCAACUCUGAAAAGAACCCAUAAAAAGAAAACAACAAAUGCUGACAAUGUUUCUUCAGCAACUAUCAUGUGCCAGGUUCUGUUCUAAUUACAUAGUAAGGUAAUGUCUAAACAAAUUACUUCUCAUCUUAACCUUUCAACAACCUUCGAGGUAAGUAGUUUUAUUCCCUCUAUCUUGGAGAUGAGGAGUCUGAAGCACAGAGAGAUGAGGGAAUGCCCUUACCACUUAUCUGAC
rnacentral:lncRNA from 1 species